AGCAGCGGACGGCAUGACUCGUACAAGCGUGAUCGCGUGUUGUUUACAAAAUGGACAGUUCUCUCCCUUCUCUAAGUUAUUGUCGGCUUUAUAACGCGUUUCAUAUUGUGAAUUGAGAGUGUUAACGUAACCGAAGAUAUGGGGAAGCCAAAGAAAAAGACUGAUCGGAGCGGAGCUGAUGACGAUGGAGCAUCAAUCAGCUGGUCGAAGCGCAUGAAGAAGGAAAAGACGUCAACUUCAACAAGGUGAAGACCAAGUGCUCCGCUUAGUGUGGUCUGUCAGCCCAGGCUAGUCGACAUCAUAGCUGCUGUUCCACCCCAGUGCCCUGAUGCCCUGGUGCCCAAACUCAAGGCCAAGCCUAUCCGCACUGCCAGCGGGUCGACAUCUAUGAGAGCCAUCAGAGCACCUUAUGAUCCCUACCUGCGGACCAGACAUCGGGUGAAACAGUUGAAGCAGCUGGGCCACAGUGUGAACAAGGUGGAGUUUAUAGUGAUGGGAGGAACCUUCAUGGCCCUGGCUGAGGAGUACAGAGACGACUUCAUCAGGAACCUCCACGACAGAACACACCUCUAACAACGUAGCUGAGGCCGUCAGGGACAUCCCCAUGUUUCUGGUGAGCUCUGGAGUGGAAAAUGGUGACCUCCGAGAGCUCUGGAGUGGAGCAUGGUGACCUCCGAGAGCUGGCUCUGGCCAGGAUGAAAGACAUGGGGACGGA